GACGAACGCUGGCGGCGUGCUUAACACAUGCAAGUCGAACGGUGAACUCCGCUUGCGGGGGGAUCAGUGGCGAACGGGUGAGUAACACGUGGGCAACCUGCCCUCAGCUCUGGGAUAACUCCAAGAAAUUGGGGCUAAUACCGGAUAUGACCGCUGACCGCAUGGUCUGGUGGUGGAAAGAUUUAUCGGCUGGGGAUGGGCCCGCGGCCUAUCAGCUUGUUGGUGGGGUAGUGGCCUACCAAGGCGACGACGGGUAGCCGGCCUGAGAGGGUGACCGGCCACACUGGGACUGAGACACGGCCUAGACUCCUACGGGAGGCAGCAGUGGGGAAUAUUGCGCAAUGGGCGAAAGCCUGACGCAGCGACGCCGCGUGGGGGAUGACGGCCUUCGGGUUGUAAACCUCUUUCAGCAGGGACGAAGCGAAAGUGACGGUACCUGCAGAAGAAGCACCGGCCAACUACGUG
rnacentral:rRNA from 1 species